GACGAACGCUGGCGGCGUGCUUAACACAUGCAAGUCGAACGGAAAGGCCCUGCUUUUGUGGGGUGCUCGAGUGGCGAACGGGUGAGUAACACGUGAGUAACCUGCCCUUGACUUUGGGAUAACUUCAGGAAACUGGGGCUAAUACCGGAUAGGAGCUCCUGCUGCAUGGUGGGGGUUGGAAAGUUUCGGCGGUUGGGGAUGGACUCGCGGCUUAUCAGCUUGUUGGUGGGGUAGUGGCUUACCAAGGCUUUGACGGGUAGCCGGCCUGAGAGGGUGACCGGCCACAUUGGGACUGAGACACGGCCCAGACUCCUACGGGAGGCAGCAGUGGGGAAUAUUGCACAAUGGGCGGAAGCCUGAUGCAGCAACGCCGCGUGCGGGAUGACGGCCUUCGGGUUGUAAACCGCUUUCGCCUGUGACGAAGCGUGAGUGACGGUAAUGGGUAAAGAAGCACCGGCUAACUACGUGCCAGCAGCCGCGGUGAUACGUAGGGUGCGAGCGUUGUCCGGAUUUAUUGGGCGUAAAGGGCUCGUAGGUGGUUGAUCGCGUCGGAAGUGUAAUCUUGGGGCUUAACCCUGAGCGUGCUUUCGAUACGGGUUGACUUGAGGAAGGUAGGGGAGAAUGGAAUUCCUGGUGGAGCGGUGGAAUGCGCAGAUAUCAGGAGGAACACCAGUGGCGAAGGCGGUUCUCUGGGCCUUUCCUGACGCUGAGGAGCGAAAGCGUGGGGAGCGAACAGGCUUAGAUACCCUGGUAGUCCACGCUGUAAACGGUGGGUACUAGGUGUGGGGUCCAUUCCACGGGUUCCGUGCCGUAGCUAACGCUUUAAGUACCCCGCCUGGGGAGUACGGCCGCAAGGCUAAAACUCAAAGGAAUUGACGGGGCCCCGCACAAGCGGCGGAGCAUGCGGAUUAAUUCGAUGCAACGCGUAGAACCUUACCUGGGUUUGACAUGGAUCGGGAGUGCUCAGAGAUGGGUGUGCCUCUUUUGGGGUCGGUUCACAGGUGGUGCAUGGCUGUCGUCAGCUCGUGUCGUGAGAUGUUGGGUUAAGUCCCGCAACGAGCGCAACCCUUGUUCACUGUUGCCAGCACGUUAUGGUGGGGACUCAGUGGAGACCGCCGGGGUCAACUCGGAGGAAGGUGGGGAUGACGUCAAGUCAUCAUGCCCCUUAUGUCCAGGGCUUCACGCAUGCUACAAUGGCUGGUACAGAGAGUGGCGAGCCUGUGAGGGUGAGCGAAUCUCGGAAAGCCGGUCUCAGUUCGGAUUGGGGUCUGCAACUCGACCUCAUGAAGUCGGAGUCGCUAGUAAUCGCAGAUCAGCAACGCUGCGGUGAAUACAGUUCCCGGGGCU
rnacentral:rRNA from 1 species